AUUGAACGCUGGCGGCAGGCCUAACACAUGCAAGUCGAGCGGUAGAGAGAAGCUUGCUCCUCUUGAGAGCGGCGGACGGGUGAGUAAUGCCUAGGAAUCUGCCUAGUGGUGGGGGAUAACGUUCGGAAACGGACGCUAAUACCGCAUACGUCCUACGGGAGAAAGCGGGGGAUCUUCGGACCUCGCGCCAUUAGAUGAGCCUAGGUCGGAUUAGCUAGUUGGUGAGGUAAUGGCUCACCAAGGCGACGAUCCGUAACUGGUCUGAGAGGAUGAUCAGUCACACUGGAACUGAGACACGGUCCAGACUCCUACGGGAGGCAGCAGUGGGGAAUAUUGGACAAUGGGCGAAAGCCUGAUCCAGCCAUGCCGCGUGUGUGAAGAAGGUCUUCGGAUUGUAAAGCACUUUAAGUUGGGAGGAAGUGCAGUAACCUAAUACGUUAUUGUUUUGACGUUACCGACAGAAUAAGCACCGGCUAACUUCGUGCCAGCCGCCGCAGUAACAC
rnacentral:rRNA from 1 species